ensembl:lncRNA
GGAAGAGACAAGACAGAGGACAGAGAGAGGGGAGAAGCCAUGGCAGGUUUGCAGUUAUCAAGGCAUAAGAGUCCAUCCAUCAACAUCACAGAGACAUGGCAGGUACGGCAGCUGGAGCAGAAGCUGGGACCUCACAUCAUCAACCACAAGCAUAACAGAGAGAAGGGGCAUUAGAAGCGAUGUGAGUCUUUAGAAUUCUCAAAGCCACCUCCAGUGAUGUUCUUCCUCCAACAAUGCAACACCCCUAAACCUUCCCUAACAGCAAUACUAACUAGGGACCAACUGUUCAAAUACAUGAAGCUAUGGGAAAACAUUCUCAUUUAAGAACCCAUAUUUGGGGAUGAACAUUUAAAGAAUUAGAGGGAUUUUUGAAUACUCUAAGCUUGCUACCAUAUACAAUAAUGCUCUUAAAUUGCUGCUCUAGCAUAUCCUGCCAUCAGUCUCUCCUUCUUCCUGUUAGCCCAACAGCCCAACUCCCUCUCACACAACUAGAGAGCUCUUGUUGUUUAUAUAUGGGCUAUCAGUGAAUGGACUUCCAAAAUAUAUGAGGAACUGGGCGUCUUAGGUUUUCCAUUGCUGUAAAGAGACACCACAGCCAUGGCAACUCUUAUGAAGACAAAUAUUUAAUUGGGGCUGACUUACAGUUUCAGAGGUUCAGUUCAUUAUCACCAUGUUUGGAAGCAUGGCAGCAUGCAGGCAGACAGGUUACUAGAGGACCCCAAGCAUUCUACAUCUCGAUAACUGUUUUCUGCAAGCAGCCAAGAGGGGAUUCUCUUCCACACUGUGUGGAGAUUGAACACUAAGAGACCUCAAAGCCCACCCUUACAGUGACACACAGCCUCCAACAAGGCCACACCUAUUCCAACCAAGCCACACCUCCCAACAGUACCAAUCUCUCUGAGGCAAGCAUCCAAACACAUGAGUCCAGGGAAAGGCGUACAGGGAACCUACUCAAAGCACCACACUGGGUUACUACUACCUCAGCCCAGGGACAGGCUCCUCUCAGCUAGAGUUCUUUAAUCCUCCCAAUGUCUCUGUGACUUUCUCAUUAACCAUUUUCACAGAAAAAACAACCCACUCAUCUUUAACAGCUAGAUUUCUAUCUCCCUAGUAAAAGUAAUGGUGUGAGGCAAUAUUUAUGGUUUAUAGCUUUGGCUCUAUUGACAUUUUUACAUAAUGAUACUCUGUGAAUUUAAGUGUAUCAUUUAGUAUGUACUUUUGAGAGCUUACGUUUAAGUAUAUCUCUAGAAUCAAAUUACCAAGUAUUAUAGAAUCGUGACUUCAACUUGGCAUUGAGAACUGAGCCAUGAAGUGACUCACCAUGACUCAGUUCUUAAAGAACAAGAGGCUGUUGCCUCCCCCAUCGUAAUUUUGUUUUUGGAUGGAAUUGGCAGUUCUCACUAUUAGCAAGCCUGAUAUUUUAUUCGGCAAGGAGGCCCAGCUUUAGCUGCUUUAUCUUUGCUACAAUUCACUGAAGUUCUAGCUUCUGCCUUUUGUGAAAUACACAUUAGUAAAAUGAGUCACCCAAAGAAUGCAGGACAGUUGACAAUUGACAGUGGAUUAUUUGAAAUAUAAUAUCAUUGAGGAGUAUCUUUAAUGAGUUUGUAAUGAUUACACCAUAUGGGAUUCUCAUCCUUACAGAUCAGUAGUAAAGAAGGAAGAAA